CACAUCAUGUUGAAACACUGGUUCUCAUACGAUCACCAAAGUUAAGCAACAUUGAGUAUGUUCAGUACCUAGAUGGGUAACCACUUGGGAAUUCCUGAUGCU